GACGUAGGGCGCGAGCGUUGUCCGGAUUUAUUGGGCGUAAAGAGCUCGUAGGCGGCUUGUCGCGUCGUCCGUGAAAACCUGGGGCUCAACUCCAGGCUUCGGUCGGAUACGGGCAGGCUCGAGUUCGGUAGGGGAGGACUGGAAUUCCUGGUGUAGCGGUGAAAUGCGCAGAUAUCAGGAGGAACACCGGUGGCGAAGGCGGGUCUCUGGGCCGAUACUGACGCUGAGGCGCGAAAGCGUGGGGAGCAAACAGG
rnacentral:rRNA from 1 species